rnacentral:rRNA from 1 species
AGAGUUUGAUCCUGGCUCAGAACGAACGCUGGCGGCGUGGAUAAGACAUGCAAGUCGAACGAGAGAAUUGCUAGCUUGCUAAUAAUUCUCUAGUGGCGCACGGGUGAGUAACACGUGAGUAACCUGCCCCCGAGAGCGGGAUAGCCCUGGGAAACUGAGAUUAAUACCGCAUAGUAUCGAAAGAUUAAAGCAGCAAUGCGCUUGGGGAUGGGCUCGCGGCCUAUUAGUUAGUUGGUGAGGUAACGGCUCACCAAGGCGAUGACGGGUAGCCGGUCUGAGAGGAUGUCCGGCCACACUGGAACUGAGACACGGUCCAGACACCUACGGGUGGCAGCAGUCGAGAAUCAUUCACAAUGGGGGAAACCCUGAUGGUGUGACGCCGCGUGGGGGAAUGAAGGUCUUCGGAUUGUAAACCCCUGUCAUGUGGGAGCAAAUUAAAAAGAUAGUACCACAAGAGGAAGAGACGGCUAACUCUGUGCCAGUAGCCGCGGUAAUACAGAGGUCUCAAGCGUUGUUCGGUAUCACUGGGCGUAAAGCGUGCGUAGGCUGUUUCGUAAGUCGUGUGUGAAAGGCGCGGGCUCAACCCGCGGACGGCACAUGAUACUGCGAGACUAGAGUAAUGGAGGGGGAACCGGAAUUCUCGGUGUAGCAGUGAAAUGCGUAGAUAUCGAGAGGAACACUCGUGGCGAAGGCGGGUUCCUGGACAUUAACUGACGCUGAGGCACGAAGGCCAGGGGAGCGAAAGGGAUUAGAUACCCCUGUAGUCCUGGCAGUAAACGGUGCACGCUUGGUGUGCGGGGAAUCGAUCCCCUGCGUGCCGGAGCUAACGCGUUAAGCGUGCCGCCUGGGGAGUACGGUCGCAAGAUUAAAACUCAAAGAAAUUGACGGGGACCCGCACAAGCGGUGGAGUAUGUGGCUUAAUUCGAUGCAACGCGAAGAACCUUACCUGGGCUUGACAUGUAAUGAACAACAUGUGAAAGCAUGCGACUCUUCGGAGGCGUUACACAGGUGCUGCAUGGCCGUCGUCAGCUCGUGUCGUGAGAUGUUUGGUUAAGUCCAGCAACGAGCGCAACCCCUGUUGCCAGUUACCAGCACGUGAAGGUGGGGACUCUGGCGAGACUGCCCAGAUCAACUGGGAGGAAGGUGGGGACGACGUCAGGUCAGUAUGGCCCUUAUGCCCAGGGCUGCACACGUACUACAAUGCCCAGUACAGAGGGGGCCGAAGCCGCGAGGCGGAGGAAAUCCUGAAAACUGGGCCCAGUUCGGACUGUAGGCUGCAACCCGCCUACACGAAGCCGGAAUCGCUAGUAAUGGCGCAUCAGCUACGGCGCCGUGAAUACGUUCCCGGGUCUUGCACUAACCGCCCGUCA